AUGGCCUAAGCGUCGAUAACAGUGAAGAUAAGGAAAUCUAGCGUAUAGGUAUACUAUCCGUAACACUCAAUAUUUUUACACUCAAAGUCCCCUUAAGUGGGGCUACAGUCCAUAGAAGGUGCUAGACCUGCAACGGUAGGUUAUUCCUCGGAUUUAGGUUGUUUGAGAUUGCAGCCCAAAGAGGGUGGUAAACUUCAUCUAAGGCUAAAUACGACUACAAGAGCGAUAGCAAACAAGUACCGUGAGA
rnacentral:ncRNA from 1 species